AAGUCGUAACAAGGUUUCCGUAGGUGAACCUGCGGAAGGAUCAUUAUUGAAUGAACUUGGCGUGGUUGUCGCUGGCCCUCUCGGGGGUAUGUGCACGCCCGUCAUCUUUAUCUUUCCACCUGUGCACACUUUGUAGACUUGAAUAGUAUUUUCUGAGGCAACUCAGUCGGGAGGAUUGCUGGUAUUAUCAGCUUUCCUUGCAUUAUUCAAGCCUAUGUUUUUCAUAUACCCCAAAAAUGUAACAGAAUGUAUCAUUGGGCCUUGUGCCUAUAAACUAUAUACAACUUUCAGCAACGGAUCUCUUGGCUCUC
rnacentral:misc_RNA from 1 species